rnacentral:rRNA from 1 species
GAACUGCAUGGUUCGAAAUUGAAAGGCGGCUUCGGCUGUCACUUAUGGAUGGACCCGCGUCGCAUUAGCUAGUUGGUGAGGUAACGGCUCACCAAGGCAACGAUGCGUAGCCGACCUGAGAGGGUGAUCGGCCACACUGGGACUGAGACACGGCCCAGACUCCUACGGGAGGCAGCAGUAGGGAAUCUUCCGCAAUGGACGAAAGUCUGACGGAGCAACGCCGCGUGAGUGAUGAAGGCUUUCGGGUCGUAAAACUCUGUUGUUAGGGAAGAACAAGUGCUAGUUGAAUAAGCUGGCACCUUGACGGUACCUAACCAGAAAGCCACGGCUAACUACGUGCCAGCAGCCGCGGUAAUACG